rnacentral:lncRNA from 1 species
GCUGUUUCAAUAUGGUCUGUUUGAUGAAAUACACAUUGAGAUUCAUAAAGAGCAGCUAAGCCUAGAAAGAUAAUGGAGGCAUAACCACCCACAUAUUCAAAGGGAUUCAAAUUCACGCUACAAGUUCAUCAUGUGAAAAUCCUUAAAAAAAAGUCCUUCAGUUGUAGAUUCCAUGGUCUCCCAGUCAUGAAAACAUAAUUAAUUUGACAAUCAAAGUUAAUCCAGCAAAGACAGUGAGCAGGAUUGUACAAGGAAAGAGUGGAAUCACAGAACUCCCAUCAGGAAAAUAAACCCAGAACAUUUAGUGUACCGAUGUGGAAUCUGUGGCAUAGACAAGUGAAGAAUUUCUUCUAUAUUCAUUUGGAGUCCCCAAACUCAGGAGUAUGAAGGAUGUUCAGAAAGCCAACAAGGAAAAUCGACCACUCAAAAAUAGUACAGAUAUGCAGAUGGAAAGGAACAAAAGUCAUUAUGAUUGUGGUAACCAAGACACAGAACACAAAUAUGAUGUCCGGACCCUACUGCCGAAGACAAGACCUAUAGAACUUGCUGAAAAUGGAGGAGGUGAGCUGGCCUUCACUCCUACUUGUCUUUGGUACAGGAAGGUACUCUGUGUGUGACCAAAUGAGGAGUGUAAACAGUAGCUCAUCUCCAAAUGCUUCUGUCUACAAUGGUGUCUGCAAAAUAGGCUAAUGCAAUGGUGGCACAAACCUUCUGAGAGUAUACAAUCAAUAUCUGUAUUUGAGGUCCACCUUAUGACAUGGAGCCCAUCCUCACCACUGCUUGGGUGACCAAGAACAUAAGACUAGAUAAGACAAGGACUGGAAGAAAACCAAAUCCUUCUACUCGAUUAAAGGAACUUUGCAUCCAA